UACCAGCACCCCGAGUGGUCGGGACGUUUAUUGGGCCUAAAGCAUCCGUAGCCGGUUCUACAAGUCUUCCGUUAAAUCCACCUGCUCAACAGAUGGGCUGCGGAAGAUACUAUGGAGCUAGGAGGCGGGAGAGGCAAGCGGUACUCGAUGGGUAGGGGUAAAAUCCGUUGAUCCAUUGAAGACCACCAGUGGCGAAGGCGGCUUGCCGGAACGCGCUCGACGGUGAGGGAUGAAAGCUGGGGGAGCAAACCGG
rnacentral:rRNA from 1 species